rnacentral:tRNA from 1 species
GGGUAAUUAGCUCAAUUGGUAGAGCAUCUCGUUUACACCGAGAGGGCUAGCGGUUCAAAUCCGUUAUUACCCA